GUUGACCUCGGAUCAGGUAAGGGAUACCCGCUGAACUUA
rnacentral:rRNA from 1 species